rnacentral:rRNA from 1 species
CCAGGAGGGUGAGAGCCCCGUGGGAUGCCGGCGGAAGCAGUGAGGCCCUUCUGACGAGUCGAGUUGUUUGGGAAUGCAGCUCCAAGCGGGUGGUAAAUUCCAUCUAAGGCUAAAUACUGGCGAGAGACCGAUAGCGAACAAGUACUGUGAAGGAAAGAUGAAAAGCACUUUGAAAAGAGAGUGAAACAGCACGUGAAAUUGUUGAAAGGGAAGGGUAUUGCGCCCGACAUGGGGAUUGCGCACCGCUGCCUCUCGUGGGCGGCGCUCUGGGCUUUCCCUGGGCCAGCAUCGGUUCUUGCUGCAGGA